GAGUUUGAUCCUGGCUCAGGAUGAACGCUAGCGGGAGGCCUAACACAUGCAAGCCGAGCGGUAUAGUUUCUUCGGAAACUAGAGAGCGGCGCACGGGUGCGUAACACGUGUGCAACCUACCUUUAUCUGGGGAAUAGCCUUUCGAAAGGAAGAUUAAUACCCUAUAAUAUAUUUGAUGGCAUCAUUAGAUAUUGAAAACUCCGGUGGAUAAAGAUGGGCACGCGCAAGAUUAGAUAGUUGGUGAGGUAACGGCUCACCAAGUCAAUGAUCUUUAGGGGUCCUGAGAGGGAGAUCCCCCACACUGGUACUGAGACACGGACCAGACUCCUACGGGAGGCAGCAGUGAGGAAUAUUGGACAAUGGGUGAAAGCCUGAUCCAGCCAUCCCGCGUGAAGGAUGACGGUCCUAUGGAUUGUAAACUUCUUUUGUACAGGAAUAAACCUAGAUACGUGUAUUUAGCUGAAGGUACUGUACGAAUAAGCACCGGCUAACUCCGUGCCAGCAGCCGCGGUAAUACGGAGGGUGCAAGCGUUAUCCGGAUUUAUUGGGUUUAAAGGGUCCGCAGGCGGGCUGAUAAGUCAGUGGUGAAAUCUCGUAGCUUAACUACGAAACUGCCAUUGAUACUGCAGGUCUUGAGUAAAUUAGAGGUAGCUGGAAUAAGUAGUGUAGCGGUGAAAUGCAUAGAUAUUACUUAGAACACCAAUUGCGAAGGCAGGUUACCAUGAAUUAACUGACGCUGAGGGACGAAAGCGUGGGUAGCGAACAGGAUUAGAUACCCUGGUAGUCCACGCCGUAAACGAUGCUAACUCGUUUGUGGGGCGCCAGCCUCAGAGACCAAGCGAAAGUGAUAAGUUAGCCACCUGGGGAGUACGUCCGCAAGGAUGAAACUCAAAGGAAUUGACGG
rnacentral:rRNA from 1 species